CCUACGGGUGUCAGCAGUGGGGAAUAUUGCACAAUGAGGGAAACCCUGAUGCAGCGACGCCGCGUGAGUGAAGAAGUAAUUCGUUAUGUAAAGCUCUAUCAGCCGGGCAGCAAAUGACGGUACCUGAGUAAGAACCCCCGGCUAACUACGUGACAGCAGCCGCGGUAAUACGUAUGGGGCAAGCGUUAUCCGGAGUUACUGGGUGUAAAGGGAGCGUAGACGGCAGUGCAAGUCUGGAGGGAAAGGGGGGGGCUCAAACCCCGGAUUGCUCUGGAAACUGUACGGCUGGAGUGCAGGAGAGGUAAGUGGAAUUCCUAGUGUAGCGGUGAAAUGCGUAGAUAUUAGGAGGAACACCAGUGGCGAAGGCGGCUUACUGGAGUGUAACUGACGUUGAGGCUCGAAAGCGUGGGGAGCAAACAGGAUUAGAUACCCGGGUAGUC
rnacentral:rRNA from 1 species